GCCGGGCACAGUGGCAUGUGCCUGUAGUCCCAGCUACUCAGGAGGCUGAGGCUGGAGAAUCGCUUGAGUCCAGGAGUUCUGGGCUGUAGUGUGCAUGCCGAUGGGGUGUCUGCACUCAGUUCGGCAUCAAUAUGGUGACCUCCCAGGAGCGGGGUACCACCAGGUUGCCUAAGGAGGGGUGAACCAGCCCAGGUCAAACACGGAGCAGGUCAAAACUCCGAUGCUGAUCAGUAGUGGGAUCACACUUGUGAAUACCCACUGCACUCCAGCCUGGGCAACAUAGCGAGAUCCCAUCUCU
rnacentral:SRP_RNA from 1 species